AAAACCAACGCCCUCUGGGCUCCUUGGUGAAUCAUGAUAACUUCACGAAUCGCACGGCCUUGCGCCGGCGAUGGCUCAUUCAAAUUUCUUCCCUAUCAACUUUCGAUGUUUGGGUAGUGGCCAAACAUGGUUGCAACGGGUAACGGAGGGUUAGGGCUCGACCCCGGAGAAGGAGCCUGAGAAACGGCUACUACAUCCAAGGAAGGCAGCAGGCGCGCAAAUUACCCAAUCCCGACUCGGGGAGGUAGUGACAAUAAAUACUGAUACAGGGCUCUUUCGGGUCUUGUAAUCGGAAUGAGUACAAUUUAAAUCCCUUAACGAGGAACAAUUGGAGGGCAAGUCUGGUGCCAGCAGCCGCGGUAAUUCCAGCUCCAAUAGCGUAUAUUAAGUUGUUGUGGUUAAAAAGCUCGUAGUUGAACCUUGGGCCUGGCUGGCCGGUCCGCCUCACCGCGUGUACUGGUCCGGCCGGGCCUUUCCCUCUGUGGAACCUCAUGCCCUUCACUGGGUGUGGCGGGGAACCAGGACUUUUAC
rnacentral:rRNA from 1 species